rnacentral:rRNA from 1 species
AACGGCGUCGAGCGGCGGACGGGUGAGUAAUGCCUAGGAAAUUGCCCUGAUGUGGGGGAUAACCAUUGGAAACGAUGGCUAAUACCGCAUGAUGCCUACGGGCCAAAGAGGGGGACCUUCGGGCCUCUCGCGUCAGGAUAUGCCUAGGUGGGAUUAGCUAGUUGGUGAGGUAAGGGCUCACCAAGGCGACGAUCCCUAGCUGGUCUGAGAGGAUGAUCAGCCACACUGGAACUGAGACACGGUCCAGACUCCUACGGGAGGCAGCAGUGGGGAAUAUUGCACAAUGGGCGCAAGCCUGAUGCAGCCAUGCCGCGUGUGUGAAGAAGGCCUUCGGGUUGUAAAGCACUUUCAGUCGUGAGGAAGGCAGUGUAGUUAAUAGCUGCAUUAUUUGACGUUAGCGACAGAAGAAGCACCGGCUAACUCCGUGCCAGCAGCCGCGGUAAUACGGAGGGUGCGAGCGUUAAUCGGAAUUACUGGGCGUAAAGCGCAUGCAGGUGGUUUGUUAAGUCAGAUGUGAAAGCCCGGGGCUCAACCUCGGAAUUGCAUUUGAAACUGGCAGACUAGAGUACUGUAGAGGGGGGUAGAAUUUCAGGUGUAGCGGUGAAAUGCGUAGAGAUCUGAAGGAAUACCGGUGGCGAAGGCGGCCCCCUGGACAGAUACUGACACUCAGAUGCGAAAGCGUGGGGAGCAAACAGGAUUAGAUACCCUGGUAGUCCACGCCGUAAACGAUGUCUACUUGGAGGUUGUGGCCUUGAGCCGUGGCUUUCGGAGCUAACGCGUUAAGUAGACCGCCUGGGGAGUACGGUCGCAAGAUUAAAACUCAAAUGAAUUGACGGGGGCCCGCACAAGCGGUGGAGCAUGUGGUUUAAUUCGAUGCAACGCGAAGAACCUUACCUACUCUUGACAUCCAGAGAACUUUCCAGAGAUGGAUUGGUGCCUUCGGGAACUCUGAGACAGGUGCUGCAUGGCUGUCGUCAGCUCGUGUUGUGAAAUGUUGGGUUAAGUCCCGCAACGAGCGCAACCCUUAUCCUUGUUUGCCAGCGAGUAAUGUCGGGAACUCCAGGGAGACUGCCGGUGAUAAACCGGAGGAAGGUGGGGACGACGUCAAGUCAUCAUGGCCCUUACGAGUAGGGCUACACACGUGCUACAAUGGCGCAUACAGAGGGCAGCCAACUUGCGAAAGUGAGCGAAUCCCAAAAAGUGCGUCGUAGUCCGGAUUGGAGUCUGCAACUCGACUCCAUGAAGUCGGAAUCGCUAGUAAUCGUGGAUCAGAAUGCCACGGUGAAUACGUUCCCGGGCCUUGUACACACCGCCCGUCACACCAUGGGAG